rnacentral:rRNA from 1 species
AAAACUUUCAACAACGGAUCUCUUGGUUCUGUSUSGAAAUGCGAUAAGUAAUGCGAAUUGCAGAAUUCCGUGAGUCAUCGAAUCUUUGAACGCACAUUGCGCCCUUUGGUAUUCCAAAGGGCAUGCCUGUUCGAGCGUCAUU